rnacentral:lncRNA from 1 species
GUCGAGAAGUGGUACAUAUCUCCACUCGAUCUCUCCAAGCACUCCUCGAUCAUUGCUGAGGAAAAGCGUAGCUCGUCUUUGUGAUCCCCUACGUGUUCUUUAUUUUUCUACGAACUAUGUGAUCUGCCUAAAAUAUUUCUGAGAUCGAUCUUUCACCUACCGAAGUAUCAUAGCUAUUCUUCAUAGCCCAAAAGAUGACCUAAAGAAUGAAUAUUGAUGUAGAACUGCCUAUGAUCGACUGCAUCUAGC